rnacentral:rRNA from 1 species
CCUACGGGAGACAGCAGUGAGGAAUAUUGGUCAAUGGGCGGGAGCCUGAACCAGCCAAGUCGCGUGAGGGAAGACGGUCCUAUGGAUUGUAAACCUCUUUAGGCGGGGAGCAAUGCCGGGCACGCGUGCCCGGAGGGAGAUUACCCGCAGAAUAAGCAUCGGCUAAAUCCGUGCCAGCAGCCGCGGUAAUACGGAGGAUGCGAGCGUUAUCCGGAGUUAUUGGGGUUAAAGGGUGCGUAGGCGGAUUUUUAAGUCAGCGGUAAAAUGUCCGGGCUCAACCCGGGCCGGCCGUUGAAACUGGGGAUCUUGAGUGGGCGAGAAGUAUGCGGAAUGCGUGGUGUAGCGGUGAAAUGCAGAGAUAUCACGCAGAACUCCGAUUGCGAAGGCAGCAUACCGGCGCCCGACUGACGCUGAGGCACGAAAGCGUGGGGAUCGAACAGGAUUAGAUACCCUGGUAGUC